CUUGCUUUGCACUUACUCCAACAAUCCAUUGAGCAUCUGCUAUAGUUUGGAUGUUUGACAUCUCCGAACCUCAUGUUGAAAUCUGAUCCCCAGGGUGGCGAUGUUGGGAGGUGGGGCCUAGUGGGAGGUGUUUGGUUAAUGGGGGCGGAUCCCUCAUGAAUAACUUGGUGCCAUUCUCAUGGGAGUGAGUUCUCACCCUAUUAGCUCCCAUGACAGCUGUUUGUUAAAAAGAUCCUGGCACCUCCCCCACCCUCUUGCUUCUUCUUUCGCCAUGUGAUCUCUGCGGUCUCUGCACAUAAUGGUUCCCCUUCUCCUUCUGCUAUGAGUGGAAGCAGCCAGAAGCUUUCAUCAGAAGCAGACGCUGGUGCCAUACCUGCAGAACUGUCAGCCAAAUACUGUCAUGUCUGAAUGGUAGUCCUGAGAUUGCGGCAGCCCUCACAUGAUGAGCCAGAGGAGGAAGCCUCAUGUGAAAGAAAGCAGGACCCACAGCCAUAGUUGCACAGAUCUAUUCAAGCCACGCUGAUCACUGCGCUAACCUCUGGAUUUGUUUGGUUACAGCAGUGAGUUUUCAGUUACUUGCAGCCUAACACAUAUGUUGCUUGAGGUUUAGCUUUUCUGGAUCGCCCUUUUUCUUAGCCCUCCACUCCCAGCCCAAGGUGGCAAUAGAGAAGGUCAGCCUACCUCCCAUCACUCCCUUGCCUUCCGCUCCUCACUCUGAGUGGGCUCUUUCCCUCACUCAAUUCUUUUUUGGCCUCCUAUCCUGGUGACCUGUAAUGAAGAGGAGUCCUCAUAAUUAAUCAUUUGGACCAACCAUGACUUUAGCUCUGAGGUUUGUGUAGAGCCCAGCCCUUCCAUGGGGAACCUAGUGUGGAUGCCCUAGCCUUUCCCAGAAAAUCACCCUUUGAGCACUUCUCAGUUUGCUUGACAAGUUCAAAGUCAUGAGCAUUUUUGAGGUAGAGUGGAGAGGACUCCACCAGACUAUUUCCCCCUAGGAUGCUGAGAGAGUGAGAAAGAGGGUUGGUGCAUACUCAACUGAAAGGAGAUGUAAAGGACAACCGUGUGCUCUUCCAGAUCCAUUGACCCAUGCUCUGCUCUUUUUCACCCUGGCCUGUGCCCUGUGAGACUGAGCUCUGCAGACUACACCACCCAAGCUCUCUUGCCUUCUGGCUUCUAGAUUGGUAGGGCCAAUAGGAGGCAGCAGCAGGAGAUUAGAAGGAGAGACUGUCAGGUAGGGAUAUUAUUCCCUCAACACUGGGAGGAUUGGCAUCCCUUUAGGACCACAGCUCCUGCCGAGUGCCCUUCAUCCACAGCUGUGUCUCUCCCCAGAAUCUGGGAUCUUUGUCUCUCUUUACUCCUUUAGGCUAGGGGUAGUAAUGGCUCCCUGGUAUUUCUAGUCCCAGGGUGUUUCAUCAGCUCUUAGGCAUUCCCCACUGACCUCUGUGUAUGCCUCUGUCAAUAGAACAAUUAAACUCCUUCACUUGAAACCUUUAAAUGUGCAUCUGCUUCCUGCCAGAACCCUGUAAUGAAUAACAGUUCUAUGAUUUUAUUCCUGUUUUACAGAUAAAAAAAUGGGGACUCAGGAGUCCAAAUGACCUGCCUUUAAAAAGUCACUGGUAGCAAAGGGUGAAGCUGCUUUGAGACCAUGUUUUCCUGAUCCAGGUUUUGUAAUUGAUCAACUCAAUCCCUUGAUGCCCACCAAUCCCUACUGGACAUCAAGAGUGAGAGUCACAAGCAGAUGUCUCUCAAAUGGGAACUGGCUGUCAC
rnacentral:lncRNA from 10 species